CCUACGGGAGGCAGCAGUGGGGAAUAUUGGACAAUGGGCGAAAGCCUGAUCCAGCAAUGCCGCGUGAGUGAUGAAGGCCUUCGGGUCGUAAAGCUCUUUUACCAGGGAUGAUAAUGACAGUACCUGGAGAAUAAGCUCCGGCUAACUCCGUGCCAGCAGCCGCGGUAAUACGGAGGGAGCUAGCGUUGUUCGGAAUUACUGGGCGUAAAGAGUACGUAGGCGGUUAUUCAAGUCAGAGGUGAAAGCCCGGGGCUCAACCCCGGAACUGCCUUUGAAACUAGAUAACUAGAGUCUUGGAGAGGUUAGUGGAAUUCCGAGUGUAGAGGUGAAAUUCGUAGAUAUUCGGAAGAACACCAGUGGCGAAGGCGACUAACUGGACAAGUACUGACGCUGAGGUACGAAAGCGUGGGGAGCAAACAGGAUUAGAUACCCUGGUAAUCCACGCCGUAAACGAUGAUAACUAGUUGUUCGGUCACUUGGUGACUGAGUGACGCAGCUAACGCAUUAAGUUAUCCGCCUGGGGAGUACGGUCGCAAGAUUAAAACUCAAAGGAAUUGACGG
rnacentral:rRNA from 1 species